rnacentral:rRNA from 1 species
GACGAACGCUGGCGGCGUGCUUAACACAUGCAAGUCGAGCGGUAAGGCCCUUUCGGGGGUACGACGAGCGGCGAACGGGUGAGUAACACGUGGGUGACCUGCCCUCCAGCUCUGGGAGUAAGCCUGGGAAACCGGGUACUAAUACUGGAUAUGACUCCAUGACGCAUGUUGUGGGGUGGAAAGCCUUGUGCGGCUGAGGAUGGGCCCGCGGCCUAUCAGCUUGUUGGUGGGGGAUGGCCUACCAAGGCGACGACGGGUAGCCGGCCUGAGAGGGCGACCGG